GUUAUUUUGGCAGAUAAUAUGCGUAAGAUUUAGGAUCUUAUAAAAUAGAAUUGAUCUAUA
rnacentral:tRNA from 1 species